rnacentral:rRNA from 1 species
AUUGAACGCUGGCGGCAGGCCUAACACAUGCAAGUCGAGCGGAGCGGCGGACGGGUGAGUAAUGCCUAGGAAUCUGCCUGGUAGUGGGGGAUAACGUCCGGAAACGGGCGCUAAUACCGCAUACUAUCAGAUGAGCCUAGGUCGGAUUAGCUAUUUGGUGGGGUAAAGGCCUACAAAGGCGACGAUCCGUAACUGGUCUGCUAGGAUGAUCAGUCACACUGCGAAUGAGACACGGUCAAGACGCCGACGGGAGGCAGAAGUGGGGAAUAUUGGCACAUGGGCGAAAGCCUGAUCCAGCGAUGCCGCGGUGGUGAAGAAGGUCUUCGGAUUGUAAAGCACUUUAAGUUGGGAGGAGGUACAAAAAGAAUAAGCACCGGCUAACUUCGUGCCAGCAGCCGCGGUAAUAG